UGCCAGCCGCCGCGGUAACACGGGGGGCGCAAGCGUUAUUCGGAAUUAUUGGGCGUAAAGGGCGCGCAGGCGGUCUUGUCCGUCAGGUGUGAAAGCUCGGGGCUCAACCUCGGAACUGCACUCGAGACUGUGAAGCUGGAGAUCGGAAGAGGAGAGUGGAACACCCAGUGUAGAGGUGAAAUUCGUAGAUAUUGGGUGGAACACCGGUGGCGAAAGCGGCUCUCUGGUCCGUAUCUGACGCUGAGGCGCGAAAGCGUGGGGAGCAAACAGGAUUAGAUA
rnacentral:rRNA from 1 species